AUAAAUGCUCCCACUGAUUUCAUCAAGUCAUGAAGAGCACUUGAUACAAGCUGGUCUAGAGACAUCUUAAUCAGUCAUACUGAUUUACCUUAAUAGCAUGGGUUAGCUCGAAUCAAUUAGUGACCAAAUCCAAACAUAAUCUACCAAUUUGAUUGGAUAAGUGAGAUCAGUGAGAGGGUCUGCCUCAGCUUGCCUGAGACACCAUCGAAAUGGUCAGGUAAGCGGACUGCCAAUUAAAAAUCAUCGAUCAAAUUGCCAUG
rnacentral:lncRNA from 1 species